AUGACCACUUUGCCCUUGCCCGUAAACAGCCCCCUCGGGAGAGAACUGUUUCCAGCGAAUCUUUCCGCGAUCCUUCUGUACUUCUUCCCGGUGACCUCACUACUGCAGGAUGCUGCUAACACGACACUACGAUCAGAGACCCUUCGACAAAACUAUGUGCUAUGCCAUAAUCGCAAACGGCGGUGUAAAAAACCGUCAAAAAGGUGCAAAACGUUUGCGAUGGAGGAUGCAUCAAACACGAUUCAGAUUUUAGUUGCGUGUCUGAUUCAGGGCAUAUGGUUCAUUUCAAUUAACCGUUUUCGAUGA
rnacentral:rRNA from 1 species